rnacentral:rRNA from 1 species
GAUGAACGCUAGCGGCAGGCCUAAUACAUGCAAGUCGAACGGUGUCUUCGGACAUAGUGGCGCACGGGUGCGUAACACGUAUGCAACCUACCUUACAUUGGGGGAUAGCCUUUCGAAAGGGAGAUUAAUACCGCAUAAGACAGUAGCUGGGCAUCCAGCAGCUGUUAAAGAUUUAUCGAUGUAAGCUGGGCAUGCGUCCAAUUAGCUAGUUGGUGAGGUAACGGCUCACCAAGGCAAUGAUUGGUAGGGGAACUGAGAGGUCAAUCCCCCACCCUGGCACUGAGAUACGGGCCAGACUCCUACGGGAGGCAGCAGUAGGGAAUAUUGGGCAAUGGACGCAAGUCUGACCCAGCCAUGCCGCGGGCAGGAUGAAGGCGUUAUGCGUGGUAAACUGCUUUUAUACAGGAAGAAACGACUCUUGCGAGAGGCAUUGACGGUACUGUAUGAAUAAGCACCGGCUAACUCCGUGCCAGCCGCCGCCGUAACAC